rnacentral:rRNA from 1 species
AGAGUUUGAUCAUGGCUCACAACGAACGCUGGCGGCGUGCUUAACACAUGCAAGUCGAACGUGAUCCAGAGCUUGCUCUGGUGAAAGUGGCGCACGGGUGAGUAACGCGUGGAUAACCUGCCCUGGUAUCUGGGAUAACAUCUCGAAAGGGGUGCUAAUACCGGAUAAGCCCACGAACUCCUCGGAGUUUGCGGGAAAAGGAGGCCUCUAUUUAUAAGCUUCCGUAUCAUGAUGGGUCCGCGUACCAUUAGCUAGUUGGUGGGGUAAUGGCCUACCAAGGCGACGAUGGUUAGCUGGUCUGAGAGGAUGAUCAGCCACACUGGAACUGAGACACGGUCCAGACUCCUACGGGAGGCAGCAGUGGGGAAUUUUGCGCAAUGGGGGAAACCCUGACGCAGCAACGCCGCGUGAGUGAUGAAGGCUUUCGGGUCGUAAAGCUCUGUCAGUGGGGAAGAAAUGGGGCUGGCUAAUAUCCAGUCUUCUUGACGGUACCCACAAAGGAAGCACCGGCUAACUCCGUGCCAGCAGCCGCGGUAAUACGGAGGGUGCAAGCGUUGUUCGGAUUUAUUGGGCGUAAAGCGCGUGUAGGCGGUUUUUUAAGUCUGAUGUGAAAGCCCUGGGCUCAACCCAGGAAGUGCAUUGGAUAC